AUAUCAUUAAGCGGAGGAAAAGAAACUAACAAGGAUUCCCCUAGUAACGGCGAGUGAAGCGGGAAUAGCUCAAGUUUGAAAUCUGAGGGGGUUGACCCUCUCCGAAUUGUAGUUUAAAGAGGCGUUUUCGGCCUGCGUGCUCGGGGUAAGUGGUCUGGAACGGCCUGUCAGAGAGGGUGAGAACCCCGUCUUUACUCGAGUGUCGCGGCCAGUGUGAUACGUUCUCGUCGAGUCGGGUUGUUUGGGAAUGCAGCCCAAAAUUGGUGGUAAAUCUCAUCUAAAGCUAAAUACCGGUGGGAGACCGAUAGCGCACAAGUA
rnacentral:rRNA from 1 species